rnacentral:lncRNA from 1 species
CUGUUGAAUUACUAGCACUAGCUGCUAGCCUGACUGGGGAGCUGCAAGUCACCUGCAAUCAGCCAAAUUUGCAUACUGCAGCAGCAGUCAAGUCAGAGGAAGGCACUUACCAAGGGCUACAGGGCAGAAGCUCCAUCUGCCAUCUAGAACAUUAUCAUGGGGGAAGAUGGCAACCUAUAUCCAUGUCUUAAAGGAAACCCAGAGGGAGUAGGAGUUUCUCACCGGUAGGGUUUUGUUUGGUACAUUUGUUUAUUUUUGCAGCUUCUGCUUAAAAUCCUGUGGCAGUCUUGAGAGUCCUCCUGAAUCAAAGCCACCUUCUCAGCUGAAUGCCCCAUGGACACUACAGGCAUUUGCAUCCUUCCUGUUCUGAUGAAACUCCUUUCCAUGGACAGAAGCAUCCUCAUCUCCUGAACUGUAUUGAGUUUUAGCAGAAACAAAGUGCACAAUCACUUAGCCCAGCUGGGAGAGGAGCAUGGGACGAUGCCCAGUGCAUGUGCAGGUUUUCAGUCAGACACAGUGGACCUAGGCACCUUCAAGGCAGUGACAGGCAAGAUGUGAGAGAUAUCCUUUUGGCUGUUGCUGGAAUUUUGCUGAAGUCUAAGUCCAUUUUCAUUUGUUGGAUAAUCUGCAAACCCAGUCCCUGUUGCAUUUCAGGUAGAAGGAAGAGGAGGGAAAUAGCUUCGGGAAAAAGAAAAAAAGAAACAUCUAUCAGAAUAAGAAGAGCAUAAGGGGGUCAUUCAAAUGGUACAUUUGGACCAUUUCCUUUUCCAACAGCCACACAGAUCUCUGUGUAACCAACCCAGUUUCACAAGAAAAGUGCUUCCAGUCUUGAAAUCUAGUUUCAAAUACUUAUUAGUGAGAACACAUUCAGGAACUGUUGCUUUUCAAAAGGCACUCUUACUGAUAUUUUCACAACUGUAUCAUCUUUUGGUAAUAUUCCUGCAGACCUAGGGCUCUCAUGUAAAUGCAGAUACCCAAGGACACUUACAUGCAUAAGAUGCACAUGUAAGCAUAAGCUUCUUAUUUAUGCCUUUGGGCUGAUAUAAGUGAGAAACUGAAGCAAAAAUCUUUGCUUUAAUUUCUUAAUAAAGUUCAAAGGGAUUUUAGUUAUAAAUGGUAU